GAUUUAAGACUGAUCUCCCGUUUUCUUGGCUGCAGCACCCAAUUAAAGCCUUCUUCCCUGGCAAUGCAUAUUAUCUCAGCAAUUGGCUUUCUGUGCAGCAAACCACAGGACCCAGACUGAACCUCUGGUGUUUCAGUAACAGAUUUUGGUUCCCUGACCUGAGAGUCUUUCCUUGUGUCUCAGCUACUGUGGGCCAGAAGAGUUUCAGAAGCCCUCCUUAGCAGCUGUGCAACCCUUUUUUGGCCAGAGGGGAGUCUUGGUCUCUCUCUCUCUCUGCAACCCCACCACUGCCUGGCCCCAACCUUGUUCCUAAUUGCCUAGGAAGAACAGCCUUUUAAACUUGACAUCUGCAUCCAGAUAGUAGCCCCUCAGCACCACGGUAUUCCGAGUGGAGUCACAAAGGUGAUUACUCUUUGCUGGAGAUUAAAGACUAACUGCUGCUGCUGCACAGAAAGUAGCUGGACAUUGCAAUCACGUUUUCUAAAUAAAUAAUGAUGUCUUAUGAUGACAAUGGUGACCCAGUGCUCUCAUCUCUGCAAGAAUGGAAGAGAAGUUUUCAAGUUCUCCAGUGAAUCAUUUAGGAGCAGAAGCAGCAUAAUUCAACAGAUGCCUUGGGAGGAAAAUAUGAGGCACAAAAGUAAACAGGAAAGAACAAAACCACCGAAUGAGGCAUUAUGUUGUCUGUGUGACAAUUUAAGAUUUAUCAGUGUCAACUUUGUGUUGCAUGCACGUGAGGUUAACUUUACCCUACUUCUAGGAGUGGUUAGUUAGCAGUUAAAAGUACCCGGCUCAGGAGGCCAUGCUUUUGAGGGCCUACACAGACACUUCCAAUUUUGCUGUCAAAAUCCAUACCAGAAGUUUGUCCUUCAGUAUGAGGGUUGUUAGAAAAUAAUGAUACUCUGCUGAAAUAAGUUGUGGCCAAAAUAAAUGGUUGGCUAGAAAGACUGUACAAGCACCAUCAUCCUUGAAUGACAAGGGUCUAGGAUCCCAGCAAGCCCAGCAGCCUUACAGAGCUAGAACUCAGCCCUAUUUGGUCCCCACACUUCACAAAGGCUCUGAGCUCAACAUAACUUGAAGAUAGGCUGUUCUGCCUUGGGGUAGUACCCUGUCCUCAGAGAAAGCCUGCCAUGCAAAGUUGUGUGGGAGAGCCGUAAGCCUGAGGAAGGACUUCUCUGAGCUCAUAAGAGCAGAUGGUGUAAAACUAGCUUUGUACUUGCUUGCUGAUAAACAUUUGCACUUCCAGCUGCAUUUUAUCCAUGGCUUACAUUCAAUGUUACAUCCCAUCUGGCUCUAAACACAAGGGACCCAGUGUUUACAAAGGAUGUGGCAAUCUUUAAGCAGCCACAUUGGCUUAGGUUAAUUUGCAACAUCAGGAAUCUGGUAUUUGGUAUUAAAGUGUGACCCAGUAAGAGGAAUAUUUUUUUCAGUCUUCCUGGAAUCACUGAAAAUUUCUAGUCAUUCAAAUCUAUCAUAAUUCAUUUUGACAGUAACUUUGUAAUUUAGUAACUUCGGCCAGUAGACUCUAAUCAUCUCUAUGUAGAUGCCACAUUUUUUUAAUAGAUAGGAGCCAUAUUUGACAAGGUCUUUCUUUGGUAAUAAUUUAACAAGUGUUGCUGGAAAACCAGUUUUACUCUGCUUUUCAGCUAAACCCAUUUGUUUCUACCAUCCUGAAGAAAUACUCUAGGAAAAAAUAACUCCCAAUUAGUGAUCAUUGUGUUGAGUUCUCACUGCAUCUUUUCCAUAUUUUCAAGCCUCAUGUGGACCAUAGAAAGUCUUCUCUCUUGAAUACAUUUUAAAAUUUAAGUUGAUACCAUUUCAUGGAAAGCAGUCCCUUUACGAAGCUACGAAGCAUCUUUCAUGUCUUGAUGCAUGCGUAUGUGAACGUCUGCUGCCUUCAUAGAAACACAGGUGUUUGCACCAUUUUUAAACACAGGGCUUCUUUUUCUAUCCAUUGCUACAUUGUACUAAUCAUUUACAGUUGCCCUUUUAAGUAAUAGAUGUAUGCUGUUUACUGUGUAUUUAAUUAUGGAAAAAGUGAACUAUUCUUUCAUGUGAGUUAUCUGUGAAAGUAGCUUUUUAAACACCUCUUAGGAAGCAAAAUAAUCCACCAUGCUUUUAUAACCAUAUGUUUCACAGUAAGAAGUUGGAUCUUGUCCAAAGAGAUGUGAUAUAUUCUGAUUAUAGAAGAUUUUGCUUUGCAUGAAUACAGGACAGACAGCAGGAAUCAAAUCUACUAUUAAUAGUAGCUCGUCCAGAAGCUAUUAUGCUAGUAAAUCUUUCUCUUCCUUUUAGCUGCUAAAAUAAAAGCUUCCUGGUUUUAUUGUUACUCUUACAUGUCAUGAAGUAAGCCAGAAACCUCUCACCAUAUUUGUUUGAUAAAGUAUGAUGAACAUUUGGCUACCUGCAGGAAAUGCAGUUCUAAAAUAUUUGGAUCUUCACCAAGGAAAACUCUAGAUUACUUUUAGUUCCUUUUCCUUAUUGAUUUCAGAUUAGAAAGCAAAGGCACCAUCUUCUAUGUGACAAUCAACAAUAAGUGGUAGAAAAAUUGUGCAUCAUGUCAUAUAAUUUUAUAAAUAUUUUUAUUUUAAUCUGUCUUCACCUGUCAUUGGUGCCUCCUGGGGGAAGAAAGUGUUUUUUUUUUUUGUUUGUUUUUUGUUUUUGCUUUUUCUUUUAAAAGCAAGAUUUGAAUUGUCUAAGAGACUAAUGGAGUAUACAAUUCCAUUUUAGUCUCCCAGUUGUUUCGUUUCUUCAUUUAAGUUUUAUCAGUGAAUUUUAGAGCUUAUGAAAAUCACAAAAUGAAUUACCAGCUUCAGCCAAGUAAAGUGUAGGCUGGCAGCCAUGCUGUUGAGAUCUGUCCCAGUUCAGUUUUGUCCUGUUGCCGCAGAGUAGAGAAAAUGUUAAAGCAUCUUUUAUUCAGGUCUGCAUUUGAGAUACAGAUAUGACCUGUGCUUGUGUCAUGGGAGGGCUGCCCUUAAGAGAUUUACCUCUUUGCGGCUCAGGAGAAUGUUCUUCUGUAUCCUCACAAGGCAGAAAAGGAAAAUCAAGCCCAGUAAUAUCUGCCACACGGAAUAUAUUAUUAUCUCACCUCUUGUUUACACAAGUUUGCUAUCAGACAGGAUAAGUCAGGUUACCAACACCUUUAUUUUUAACUAAUCAUCCAAUUAAAGCAUACAAAAGUAAUUUUCCUGAAGUCACAUAGUUGAUCAUAGGUAUAUUUAUAUAAACUGUUACUAGGUAUAUUAUUAGAUGUUUUAUUUAUAAUUUCUUUUCCCUGUGUAAUUAGGAAUAAGUUUUCACUGGGCUUUUUUUCUAAAAAUUAAAUUAGUUUCUCUGAAAGUUAAACCACUUUCCAUGGAAAAGGCCCCCAAGCCCCCCUGUCUAGUUCCUUAUUGUUUCUGAGUUUCAUCUAAAACCGUUAGGCUGAAAUAGACUCUACAUUGUUUAGCAAAUUUUGUCAUUAUCUGUGAUCUCCAAGAUCCACGAUUGGGCUGUCCCCCCAGUUUUCUUGUCCUAGGAAAUCUAGACAUGUCCUAAGGGAAACAUUUUUUCCUAACUUCCCAAUUUUCUGCUUGGCAUAUUCACUUGUUAUUUUAGAGAAAUAUUUUCUUAAAUAUUUUAAGUCUAUUUGAUCUGACUAGAGAGGAGGGAGGAAAAUUAGCAGUAUGGACAAUCAAAGUUUGGGUUAAAGGUUCGUGGAAUUUAGAUAGUUUGCCAUGAUCUUAAGUGGAUAUUUCUAAAAUAAAGAGAAACACUGGCCUGCUUCCAGCCUUUUCAGAUCUGCAUUCCCCACUAAAGUGGAGAGUAGUAGCUUCUCCUUACCAAAGCUUAUACCACAGAAUCCCCACUUUCUCCUCACAGGCUCCCCUAGUGGCCUCGUACUACAGGGUGUCAUAACUCACAUAACAUCAGCUUUCAGACCUGGAGGAAUCUUUGCAACCCAGCCCCAUGGCUGAGCUCAGAGCCCUGAGCAAUACUUAUUUGUCUCAUCUUAGAGUUAGAGCUCUUUGAGGAUGGAAGCGCUUCCUCGUCUGCCCAAGGUGACAUAUAUAACCAAGCAUCCCAACCUCCAAAUGCAUUUUAAAACUUUUAUUUUUUCUUUCUUGCUUUCAUCUUUGAAACUCUGUGUUUCACUCUUUCCCACCAGAAAGCCAUCUCUAGUCUCUCCCACUCUCCUACCCAGCUUUCUCUCUGGCCCAGGACCUUCAUUCACUUAAUUGAUUUAUUCAGCAAAUAUUUGCACCAGGCACUGGGCUAAGCACAAGUCUUGCACCAAUGAACACGAGUGACAAGCUCCCUGCAUUCAUGGAGCUCACAGUCUAGUGAGACAAAGACAAUAAAGGCAGUAAACACACAGAUGCAUAUGUCAUUACAACUGGGGUGAUUUUCAUGAAAUAAAGACUGUGCUGGUGCCUGAAGAACCUGGUAGAGGAUGAACACACAGCCCUGUGAUUUUUCAUUCUGCACAUCAGUCUUCUUGGGGAGGUUGAUUGCUCUAUGACUCUCUUCCCAUCUCCGUGGUCCAAGCAGCAGUCAGUGCCAUGGGAAUCCUGUCCACUGCAGGGCACGGUGAGUAAGGAGAAAGCAGGGAGGUUGGCUGUGCUCUCACCUGUCACCCACCUCAAGGAUGAAAGUGCCUCCCAACCUGGUGGCUGCCCGGCACUCAGCGCUCGGUUGAGUCAAGGACGUGAACACCCACCAUAGUGAGGAAAAUACUUUAGUCAGGCAAGAAGGUGUGAUGCUGAGGAUGUGAAGAGAAGCCUCUUUCGGAUCCCCGGUGAGGGCUGUUCUCUAAUAACCUUCAUGAGGGGCAGUUGUGUAAAAUGUGGCUCAUUGUGUAAAAUGCUAUCCAGGAACAUGGAUAAUGACCUGACCAGAGUCAUGUUUAUAGUUGCACUCUUAAUUCUUAGGAUGAAUUAUUAAUAGUAGGGUAUAUUACAUUCGCUUUAGAAAUCUCUUUGGGAAGACACAUGAAUGCUUUUGUAAAAACAUAUCAGCUUUUGAAGAAUCAAAAGUAAUUAGUCUCAAAAAAUUAAAGUGCACCUAUAAAAAGGGAACAUCAAUGUACUAUUCUAUAAUAGGCUCAGAGUUAAUGCGGAACAUUCCACAAAACACUCGUUCUUGGGGAUUUAUUUUCAACAUUAGAAAGAAAUACUCACUCUUGACAGGAUUCUUGUGAAGAGGUUUACUCUGUUUUAAAAAUAUGUACUUGACGUUCUUGUACCAAUAUGUACUUUGUAAACUCAGUAUAAUCUAAAUUACAAAGAUAGCUUGCAGCUUUUAAAUAAAAUAAAUUUGCUCCGUUUUUCACCUUGCUUUUCAUUGUUAAUGAGUCAUAGAAAUACAAUGUCCUAUUGCAUCCAUUUGAGUUGAAGUCUUGUAAUACAAGCUAUAACUUUUUCUUCCUUCUAAUUCUAAAGGGUUUGGUUUUUUAGGUUUAAAAAUGAGUUUAUUACUUACAGAACCAUAAAU